CGUUCCCGGGUCUUGUACACACCGCCCGUCACACCAUGGGAGCGGGUUUUACCAGAAGUAGGUAGCUUAACCGCAAGGAGGGCGCUUACCACGGUAGGAUUCGUGACUGGGGGUGAAGUCGUAACAAGGUACCC
rnacentral:rRNA from 1 species